UCGGAAACUGGGGCCCCCGCCCCCCCCCCAACACCCCCAGGGCAGCCCUGAAGAGAAGCGAGGAGUCCCCCAGCGCCGUGCUCAGAAGGCCGGCAGAAAGUCAAACGUCAGUUUGUGGAUUCAGACGCAUGGAUUUCACGGAACCCUUUCUCAUCAAAACAACAGUCAUCUGCCUUGGGAGUCAAUCUGGGUGGACUGCCCAGCAGAUACCACGUGUGCCCCCAGCCCCCACUGACCUGCUCAAGGCAUCUGUCUCUCCUCAUUCCCCUCUCCCUGGCCACAGCCUUGGGGCCAGAGGAGGGUGUGGACCCUGGGCCGGGGCAAACAGUAGGCUCUUCCCGUGGAGCAAAGGGACGCUGGAGCUGGUGCAGCCCUUUUGGCACCUUGAGGUAAGUCAGUCUCAGAAUAAUGCGUGCAUGAAAGAAACCACCUGCUUUGUACCAAAGUCAAAACCCAGAGACCCCUCCCCAACCCUGGGGAAGUUUCCAGUCCAGCCCUGUCAUCUUCAAAAGAAAACCUCAGCCUGGCCAGUCCUUAACCUCUGUCACGGGCUGCGCGAGGACUCAAACUCUGUUGACACCACCCUGAAUGUUCCAGAACAUUCUGCAGGCAGGGAGCGCAUUUUAUCCCCAAGGGGCUAGGUCUCCAUCACCCGUCACUUGCACCGAAUGCCAGGCUUUGAGGAUUGUUGUUUUAUUUUAUUUUUUUUCAAUUUAUGUUCAUCCCCACGGGCAUUUUGAAGACUUUUCUUUGUAAUUCGUUAAGUUGGCUUUUGUUUUUUUUCAAGCGCUCCCUUCCUUGGCUCAAACUAAAAAAUUUCCAUCGCAUUUUCCGGACACUCUGACAUCAGGAAGCCCUGAGUUCCAGAAUCAAAAUUAAAUGAAUUGGAGAAGCA